AUUGAACGCUGGCGGCAGGCCUAACACAUGCAAGUCGAGCGAGCGGCGGACGGGUGAGUAAUGUCUGGGAAACUGCCUGAUGGAGGGGGAUAACUACUGGAAACGGUAGCUAAUACCGCAUACCAUCAGAUGUGCCCAGAUGGGAUUAGCUAGUAGGUGGGGUAACGGCUCACCUAGGCGACGAUCCCUAGCUGGGCUGAGAGGAUGACCAGCCACAGCGGAACUGAGACACGUUCCAGAAUCCUACGGGAGCCAGAAGUGGGGAAUAUGGCACAAUGGGCGCAAGCCUGCUGCAGCCAUGCCGCGUGUGGCAAGAAGGCCUUCGGGUUGUAAAUCAUUUUCAGAGGGGAGGCGGUUACAGCAGAAGAAGCACCUGCUAACUCCGUGCCAGCAGCCGCGGUAAUUC
rnacentral:rRNA from 1 species